GGAAAUGCCCUAGCUCAAUGGUAAAGCACGUGCUUUGCACCCAGAAGGUCCCAUCUCCAAUCUCUGGCAUCUCCAGGUAGGGCUGGUAAAGACUUGUUGCCUGAAAUCCUGGUGAGCUGCUGCCAGUCUGUGUAGACAAAUCCAAUGGUUUGACUCAGAAUAAGGCUGUUUCCUAUCUCCCUAUGCUUCCUGUCUUCCAGCCCUUUAUUCAGAACCACGAGGACUGGAAUUUUACUGGGUUUUUAAGGGCCACACUCCAGUCGCAGAGCACCUGCUUUGCAUGUAAAAGGUUCCACAUUCAAUCCCUGAUAGGGCUGGGAGAGACAGCUCUGUCUGAAAUCCUCAAGAACUGCCACUAGUUAGGGUAGACAACAGUAGUGGCUGGUGUGUCUUGGAACUGCUUGGGCAGAAGGCAUGGAAGCUGACAGUAGGUGGUGCUAAUGAGCAGAACCAACUCAUUUUAGUUUUGAUCCCAUCCUCCUCCCUGUUGAGUUCUUCAAGGGUAAUGCUGAAGCUGAGGAGGAGGCGGAGGAGGAGGCGGAGGAGGAGGAGGAGAAGGGAGUUUACUGCCCAUGACCCAAGCAAGUGGGAGCUGGUUUAGCAGACCACCUGCUACAGAUGUCAGACUUGUGAUCUGCAGUGCCUCUCCCUUGCCUGUGCUACUACAUUCUCAACCUCCAUUCUGCAUAGGACAUUCCUGUGUGCUUUGUGAUUCGUCACAGCUUUCCAGGUGCAAUGGGUUGCGCCCAUGAGCAGCACAGGUCCUGUUCUUUACUUAUUUCAGGGACUCUUUGAAAACCCUGAAAAACCAGAUUGAAGCUUUACAGGCCAGUGUCAUGCCCUGUGGUGGACCACCUCUUCCUUAAACACAUUCCAAGCUCAUGGAGCAGCUACCCCAAAAGCUAAUGCUGUUCUAGGCUGCAUCAACAGCAGUUGAGUUUCCAAAUCAAGGGAAGUUCUUGUAACGCUCUAGUCUGCCUUGGUGAGAUCCCCGCUGGAGUCCAGUGUCCAGUUCUGGGCAGCUCAGUUUAAGACGGAGAUUGACAAGCUGGAAUGUGUGCAGAGGAGGGCGACCGAUAUGGUUCAGGAAGCCAAGCCUUAUAUAUGAGGAACCAUUGAGGGAGUUGGGGGUGCUUAGCAUGGAGAAGGGAAGGCUAAAAGGUGGUAAAGAUAUCUUAAAAGCUGUCACAUGGAAGAUGGAGCAAGCUUGUUUUCCGUUGCUCUGGGAGGGGAGGACCUGAGUCAAUGGGUUCAAACGACAAGAAAGGAGUUUCGGACUAAGCACUAGGAACAACGCUCUUUGACAGUAAGAGCCACUCAACAGUGGAAUGGACUCUCUCAGAACUCUGUGGUGUACCCAACUUCAUUGGAGGUUUUGAAACAGAAGUUGGAUGACCAUCUGUCAGGAAGUCUUUAGCUUGAUUCCUGGCUUUCAGGGGGUGGGACAAAUGACCCUUGCGGAUCCCUUCCAACUCUACAAUUCUAUGAUUCUAUGACUCUGGCACACACACAACCACCAGGAUUUCUGAUCAGAAGGGGAAUUUAAGGCAGCCCUGUAGUUCUGCUUGGUUUCAACUUGGCCUUGCCAGCUUGCUUCCCACACAUGGAAAACAGCUCAGAAAUUAGCAAGGAUUUAAGCUUCUGUUUCUACAAGGCUGAACAGCUGUGGCCAGAUCAGAAGAUUCAGGGGCUGGGAUGUUUUAGGAUUGGGCUCAGAGUAGUAGAGUUGUCAGAUCAAAAGCAUUCCAGACCCUGAGAUUUCAGUGCCCAAACUUGACUCUUAAGGGUGGCCCUGGUGAUAAGAUAGGGGUGGACCCUGCAGAAGGAGGUUAAUUGGGAGAGGGGAAGGGAGGAGUGCUGACUGGUGGAUGGACAGGCACAUCCCUGGGAGGGGGGCUCCUUCUGCGGACUCCCAGGGGAAUCAACUUUCAGUUUCAUUUUGGCAGGAUUUCAUUUGGGUUCUGGGAUGCUGCUCAUCAGGUGAUUUGGAUUUCUGUUCAAGGAGGGCAGGAAGAAGAAGCAAACAGAGAAUAUACUUUGGGCUUAUUUUUGCAUCGUAACACUUAGGGCUAAUUUUUACAUCACAAUAGUUAGGACUUCUUUAUGUAUCGAGGCUAUGUAGGAUUGCCAGGUCAGGAGCAUCCCAGACCCUGAGAUAUAAGGGCCCGAACCUGAGAUCGAGGGGCUGUCUCUUUGGUGAUGUCACAGGAGGAACCCCCCUGGUGAUGUCACAGGGGUGGGCCCUAGAGACGAAGGUUAAUUGGGAGAAGGUAGUGGAGGAGGGCAGACCUCCCCAGAGUGUCUAUGCUAUAAUUUGCAGCCAGUUCCUGUUAAGCUGAAGUUUGAAAGUUGCAAGCACAAAUACUCAUCUCUCUCUCUCUCUCUCUCUCUCUCUCUCUCUCUCUGUGUGUGUGUGUGUGUGUGUGUGUAAUGAUUGAAGGUACACUUGCCCACAUGGAAGUUCAAGCCCUCCACCUGCCAUCUGGAGAAUUCAGAUAAGACCUUGAGGUCUGGCAACCCAACAUGACAGCAGUGAGGAGGAGAUUCCUUUGAGGACCAUUUCUCAAUUGCUUAUCCUUCUCCCACUUGGCUUGCAUCUGGUGCUUUUUUGGUUCGUUAAGAAAAAUCCAAAGCAAAGCUCACGUCAUUGCAAUGAGGGUUGGGGAAAGGUUGUUGUAACAGCAGCCCAGCAGGGUGACAUCACUGGGCCGCAGGGUCAGGGCUGAGUCGGCUCCAAACGUUUGACUUAACCUGGUCUGACUCCUCCAGACAAGCCGAUGAUUCAUUGCUCUGGUUAAUUCCUUCAUUUUGGCUGAUCUGCUUCAUUAGACUACGUUUUGCCUGCCAGAUAAUUGGUUUGGUGCUUUGACCUCAUGUCCAUGGAUAUACAGGCAUGCAACUUUUUUAAAAAAGCACACCAUAGAAGCCAGUCAUUCAUUUUUUUAAGUGGGGACUUAGACGGAGGGAGGUUGGACUGCUCCAGUUUGGUGGAAAGGUCCUGGCCUUGUUAAGAACAUUUGAACAGUCCUUCUGGACCAGGUCAGUGGCCCAUCCGUUAACCUCUCUAUGACCAUCCACAUUGAAAAGCACUCUGUAAAUAUUGGAAGGAAUCCCCACAGAAGUAUAGAAUGGGUACCGCACCGCAACAGGCAACGGAUUUGAUUUAACCUAUGUGUAAUUUCCAAUAACCAAGAUUAUCUCAAAACAGUUCAUGAAAACAACCAAAAAAUCAAGAAACAUGCAACACAUCCUGUUGCAAAACAUAUAUACAAUAAAUAAAUGAAUCAAAGUGAUAUAAAGUACAACCCCUCCCCCCACAAAUCCUUCCAAAAUGCCCAUCAGUUGUGCCGGGUAAAUGUUAAGAACACUAAUAACCCCUGACAGAUGGUAGGCCUGUAAUGCUGGAACUUGUGGACGUCCAGCGAAGUUGAUGUUCAGGACAGAUAGAACAUUAGAUGUUCAGGACAGAUAGAAGAGUCAGUCAUGUGUUGCAGAGUCAAUCAUAUGAUGCAGCAGCGAAAAAGGUGAAUGCUAUUCUAGUGUCCUGAUCAAGGGAAGUAAUAGUACUGCUCUAUUCUGCCUUGGUCAGACCACACCUGGAGUCCCAUACCCCAUUCUGGGCACCACAAUUUAAUAAGGCUAUUGACAAGCUGGAACAUGUGCAGAGGUGGGUGACCAAGAUGAUCAAGGGUCUGGAACCUCAGCCUAAUGAGGAACGCUUGAAGGAGCUGAGUAUGUUUAGCCUGGAAAAGAGGAGACUGAGAGGAGAUAUCUCUAAAUAUCUUAAGGGCUGUCACUUGGAGGAGGGAGCAUGUUUGUUUUCUGCUCUGGAGAGUAGGACUCAAAUCAAUGGCUUCAAGUUAUAAGAAAGGAGUUCUGACUAAACAUCAGGAAGAACUUUCUGAUAGUAAGACCUGAUCAGCGGUGGAAUGGACUCCCUCAGAAGGUGGUGAACGCACCUUUGUUAAAGGUUUUGAAACAGGUUGGUUGGCCAUGUCAGGUGUUCUUUAGAUGUGACUCCUGCAUUGCAGGAGGUUGGACUAGAUGAUCCUCUAUGGUUUUAGAAAAAGUUGGGGAAUGGUUUUCUGAGAUGGUGCACAUUCAUGCAUAUAGGCGUGAGAGUACUCAAAUAGGAAAAAUCCCAAUGAGGAAAAUUCUGCAAAUGCAGCCAGAGGCAAGGCAAUUUCUUAUUUAAUGUGAUGUUUUGCAUUUAUAAUGGAAAUUAAGAACCAACCACAAGAAGGGAUUCUUUAGCUGUGAUUCCUGCGUCGCAGGGGGUUUGGCUACAUGACCUUUAGGGGUCCUUUCCGACUGUAUUGUCCUAUGAGUCCAUGAGGUCUGUACCACCCGUGGGUUUUAUAGCUGCCUAGGUGUGGCCUAUGCAUGCACGGAGCAUCGAGACGCAGCUCAUCUUUCCUCAGAUGUCCGCCAUGUGUUUGGAAGUAGGACAGUGAUUACAAGACGCAAGAAGCAGCUGGAUCCCUCUUGAAUAUUUUCUGUACUUAAUCUCUGAGGAAUGCAGAAAUGUCUGUCUGUGCAUCGCAGCCAAGAUCAACUCAGUGGAACCUGGAGCGGGGGGGGGGGGGGGUUCGGAGAAGCCAAUAUAAACCUUCAUGUUCUGUGUCGCAGCGGUUUCCUUUGAUGCUCUAUCCCCGCCCCAUGUAAUUGCAUAAGGAGAACUACUGUAGUGAAAAUGUCAAAGAUGGAUUGCCAUAGGUUCCUUUUCUUCAGUCUGCAUGAACCAACUUGAGGCAGCUGCUGGUGGUUCCCUUCAAUAGAUCAUUGUUGGUUUGUUGGUUUAUGAGCAGAGGAAGAGCCCUACCAGAUCAGGGCAAGGAUCCAUCUGGUUCAGUACCCUCUUCCCACUGUGGCAACCAGAUGCUUCUGAGUGUUAAAGUGGUGUUAUAGUGCUUUGAAUUUAUGGUGCAGAUGUGGUCUGAGAUGAGACAGUCACCUUCCUUGCUGACCUUUAGGCAGACAAUAAAUACUUCCUUAUUUCAGAAGGACAAUUUAAGGUUGCAUUAGGUUUUAUGAUAAAUUUUUAAAUUAUUCUUAUUCUUUGUAUGAUGGUUUGUUUGUUUUUAAAAAUAAUGUACACUGCUUAGAAUAUUGUUAAUGGUUUAUUUGCAGGCAGCGACCAUUUUAGGCAUGUCCAAUUUGUGCGCAACCACGCAUGUGCGCAUUACGCCAAACCCAGAAGUGACCCCAAAACAUCACAAAAAGAGGCUAAACGUGGAGGGGGCAGAAUGGUGUGUUUGCAGGCU